UUUGGAGAGGGGUGGUUCCUCAGCCCGGAUUGCGAGAGGGUGCAGGCCAGGCUGCUGGAACCCACUGGUGUACG
rnacentral:pre_miRNA from 1 species